rnacentral:rRNA from 1 species
AACGAACGCUGGCGGCGUGCCUAACACAUGCAAGUCGAGCGGGAAAGUUCCCUUCGGGGAGCGAGUACAGCGGCGCACGGGUGAGUAACACGUAGGUAACCUACCCUGGGGAUCGGGAUAACCUGUCGAAAGACGGGCUAAUACCGGAUAAGACCACGGGAGCCUCGGCUCCUGAGGUAAAAGAUGGCCUAUGCUUGCAAGCUAUUACCCCGGGAUGGGCCUGCGCACCAUUAGCUAGUUGGUGAGGUAACGGCUCACCAAGGCGAAGAUGGUUAGCUGGUCUGAGAGGAUGAUCAGCCACACUGGGACUGAGACACGGCCCAGACUCCUACGGGUGGCUG